rnacentral:pre_miRNA from 1 species
GUUCUACUCCCUCCGUUUGGAAUUACUCGUCCAAGAAAUGAAUGUAUCUAAAUGUAUUUUAGUUAUAGAUACAUUCAUUUUUGUGACAAGUAAUUCCGAACGGAGGGAGUAGUAG